rnacentral:rRNA from 1 species
UCUACGGGAGGCAGCAGUGGGGAAUAUUGCGCAAUGGGGGGAACCCUGACGCAGCAACGCCGCGUGAGUGAAGGAGGCCUAGGGUCGUAAACCUCUGUUGUAUGGGAAGAAGGACGUGACGGUACCAUACGAGGAAGUCCCGGCUAACUACGUGCCAGCAGCCGCGGUAAUA